GGGCCGGUAGAUUAGUUCGGUAGAUCGUUUCGUUCGCAUCGAAAAGACCGCGUGUUCAAAUCACGCCCGGUCCACCA
rnacentral:tRNA from 1 species